UACGAAGGGGGCUAGCGUUGUUCGGAAUUACUGGGCGUAAAGCGCACGUAGGCGGAUCGAUCAGUCAGGGGUGAAAUCCCAGGGCUCAACCCUGGAACUGCCUUUGAUACUGUCGAUCUGGAGUAUGGAAGAGGUGAGUGGAAUUCCGAGUGUAGAGGUGAAAUUCGUAGAUAUUCGGAGGAACACCAGUGGCGAAGGCGGCUCACUGGACCGGCAUUGACGCUGAUGUGCGAAAGCGUGGGGAGCAAACAGG
rnacentral:rRNA from 1 species